GACGAACGCUGGCGGCGUACUUAACACAUGCAAGUCGAACGAUGAAGAAAAGAAUCGAAGCUUCGGCAGAAAUUCAUUUCGGAUUAGUGGCAGACGGGUGAGUAACGCGUGAGCAACCUACCUCUUACAAAGGGAUAGCCUCGGGAAACCGGGAUUAAUACCAUAUAACAUUGCGACGAAGCAUUUCGAUGCAAUCAAAGCUACGGCGGUAAGAGAUGGGCUCGCGUCCCAUUAACCGGAUGGUGAGGUAACGGCUCACCAUAGUGACGAUGGGUAACCGGCCUGAGAGGGUGAACGGUCACACUGGAACUGAGACACGGUCCAGACUCCUACGGGAGGCAGCAGUGGGGAAUAUUGCACAAUGGAGGGAACUCUGAUGCAGCGACGCCGCGUGAGUGAUGAAGGAAUUCGUUUCGUAAAACUCUGUUCUAUGGGAAGAAAAGGACUGUACCAUAGGAGAAAGCUCCGGCUAAAUACGUG
rnacentral:rRNA from 1 species